AGAGUUUGAUCCUGGCUCAGGACGAACGCUGGCGGCGUGCCUAAUACAUGCAAGUCGAACGAAGCUUUCUUUCACCGAAUGCUUGCAUUCACCGAAAGAAGCUUAGUGGCGAACGGGUGAGUAACACGUAGGCAACCUGCCCAAAAGAGGGGGAUAACACUUGGAAACAGGUGCUAAUACCGCAUAACCAUGAACACCGCAUGAUGUUCGUGUAAAAGACGGCUUUUGCUGUCACUUUUGGAUGGGCCUGCGGCGUAUUAACUUGUUGGUGGGGUAACGGCCUACCAAGGUGAUGAUACGUAGCCGAACUGAGAGGUUGAUCGGCCACAUUGGGACUGAGACACGGCCCAAACUCCUACGGGAGGCAGCAGUAGGGAAUCUUCCACAAUGGACGAAAGUCUGAUGGAGCAACGCCGCGUGAAUGAAGAAGGCCUUCGGGUCGUAAAAUUCUGUUGUCAGAGAAGAAUGUGCGUGAGAGUAACUGUUCACGUAUUGACGGUAUCUGACCAGAAAGCCACGGCUAACUACGUGCCAGCAGCCGCGGUAAUACGUAGGUGGCAAGCGUUGUCCGGAUUUAUUGGGCGUAAGGGGAACGCAGGCGGUCUUUUAAGUCUGAUGUGAAAGCCUUCGGCUUAACCGAAGUAGUGCAUUGGAAACUGGAAGACUUGAGUGCAGAAGAGGAGAGUGGAACUCCAUGUGUAGCGGUGAAAUGCGUAGAUAUAUGGAAGAACACCAGUGGCGAAAGCGGCUCUCUGGUCUGUAACUGACGCUGAGGUUCGAAAGCGUGGGUAGCAAACAGGAUUAGAUACCCUGGUAGUCCACGCCGUAAACGAUGAGUGCUAAGUGUUGGAGGGUUUCCGCCCUUCAGUGCUGCAGCUAACGCAUUAAGCACUCCGCCUGGGGAGUACGGUCGCAAGACUGAAACUCAAAGGAAUUGACGGGGGCCCGCACAAGCGGUGGAGCAUGUGGUUUAAUUCGAAGCAACGCGAAGAACCUUACCAGGUCUUGACAUCUUCUGACAAUUCCAGGGAUGGAACGUUCCCUUCGGGGACAGAAUGACAGGUGGUGCAUGGUUGUCGUCAGCUCGUGUCGUGAGAUGUUGGGUUAAGUCCCGCAACGAGCGCAACCCUUAUUGUCAGUUGCCAUCAUUAAGUUGGGCACUCUGGCGAGACUGCCGGUGACAAACCGGAGGAAGGUGGGGAUGACGUCAAAUCAUCAUGCCCCUUAUGACCUGGGCUACACACGUGCUACAAUGGACGGUACAACGAGUCGCUAACUCGCGAGGGCAAGCUAAUCUCUUAAAGCCGUUCUCAGUUCGGAUUGCAGGCUGCAACUCGCCUGCAUGAAGUCGGAAUCGCUAGUAAUCGCGAAUCAGCAUGUCGCGGUGAAUACGUUCCCGGGCCUUGUACACACCGCCCGUCACACCAUGAGAGUUUGUAACACCCAAAGUCGGUGGGGUAACCUUUUGGAGCAGCCGCCUAAGGUGGGACAGAUGAUUGGGGUGAAGUCGUAACAAGGUAGCCGUAGGAGAACCUGCGGCUG
rnacentral:rRNA from 1 species